rnacentral:rRNA from 1 species
UACGUAGGGUGCAAGCGUUGUCCGGAAUUAUUGGGCGUAAAGAGCUCGUAGGCGGUUUGUCGCGUCGAAUGUGAAAACCCGGGGCUCAACCCCGGGCCUGCAUUCGAUACGGGCAGACUAGAGUUCGGUAGGGGAGUCUGGAAUUCCUGGUGUAGCGGUGAAAUGCGCAGAUAUCAGGAGGAACACCGGUGGCGAAGGCGGGACUCUGGGCCGAUACUGACGCUCAUGUACGAAAGCGUGGGGAGCAAACAGG